rnacentral:misc_RNA from 1 species
CUAGCCGCCAACACUCUCAUCUAUUUGAGGCCUUCUUUCUUGCAUCAUAUCCUUCCUCCUAUUCGUGAGGUCUGGUUCAAUCCCUACCUCNNNNNNNNNGAGUUGAAACGCUUCUUCCUGUCAGCAUUCUACCAUGUGGGGGAGUCUCACCUAGUCUACAACAUGAUGUCUCUCUUGUGGAAGGGUAUCCAGUUGGAAACUUCAAUNNNNNUGCAUCUAUGGUUGCUGCAUUGCUAACUAUGUCCCAGGGUAUCACGCUGCUAAUAGCCAAGUCCCUUCUCUUGUUCUUUGACUAUGAAAAGCCUUUUUAUUCUGAAUAUGCCGUUGGGUU